rfam:Brassica napus, WGS project CCCW01000000 data, contig: 11470
GGAACAUAAGAAUCCGUCUCUUAACUUUUAAUUAAAAAGACUAGGAACCGACUUCUAAAUAAGAGUUUUAAGAGCCAAUUUUUAGCUUUUUUAGUUAUAAGUUAAGAGAUUGAUUCUUAUAUUUC